rnacentral:rRNA from 1 species
CGCAUGGUAGGAGAGCGUUCCGUAAGCCUGCGAAGGUGCCUUGUAAAGGGUGCUGGAGGUAUCGGAAGUGCGAAUGCUGACAUGAGUAGCGAUAAAGGGGGUGAAAGGCCCCCUCGCCGUAAGCCCAAGGUUUCCUACGCAACGUUCAUCGGCGUAGGGUGAGUCGGCCCCUAAGGCGAGGCAGAAAUGCGUAGCUGAUGGGAAGCAGGUCAAUAUUCCUGCACCGUCGUUAGAUGCGAUGGGGGGACGGAUCGCGGAAGGUUGUCCGGGUGUUGGAAGUCCCGGUCGCUGCAUUGGAGAAGGCGCUUAGGCAAAUCCGGGCGCAGGAUUCAAGGGUGUGGCGCGAGCGACUUAGGUCGCGAAGCAAUUGGAAGUGGUUCCAAGAAAAGCCUCUAAGCUUCAGUCUAACGAUGACCGUACCGCAAACCGACACAGGUGGGCGAGAUGAGUAUUCUAAGGCGCUUGAGAGAACUCGGGAGAAGGAACUCGGCAAAUUGGUACCGUAACUUCGGGAUAAGGUACGCCCUUGUAGCUUGACCAGCCUGCGCUGGAAGGGUGAAGGGGUUGCAAUAAACUGGUGGCUGCGACUGUUUAAUAAAAACACAGCACUCUGCAAACACGAAAGUGGACGUAUAGGGUGUGACGCCUGCCCGGUGCCGGAAGAUUAAAUGAUGGGGUGCAAGCUCUUGAUUGAAGUCCCGGUAAACGGCGGCCGUAACUAUAACGGUCCUAAGGUAGCGAAAUUCCUUGUCGGGUAAGUUCCGACCUGCACGAAUGGCGUAACGAUGGCCACACUGUCUCCUCCCGAGACUCAGCGAAGUUGAAGUGUUUGUGAUGAUGCAAUCUACCCGCGGCUAGACGGAAAGACCCCAUGAACCUUUACUGUAGCUUUGCAUUGGACUUUGAACCGAUCUGUGUAGGAUAGGUGGGAGGCUAUGAAACCGGAACGCUAGUUUCGGUGGAGCCGUCCUUGAAAUACCACCCUGGUUUGUUUGAGGUUCUAACCUUGGCCCGUGAUCCGGGUCGGGGACAGUGCAUGGUAGGCAGUUUGACUGGGGCGGUCUCCUCCCAAAGCGUAACGGAGGAGUACGAAGGUACGCUAGGUACGGUCGGAAAUCGUGCUGAUAGUGCAAUGGCAUAAGCGUGCUUAACUGCGAGACCGACAAGUCGAGCAGGUGCGAAAGCAGGUCAUAGUGAUCCGGUGGUUCUGUAUGGAAGGGCCAUCGCUCAACGGAUAAAAGGUACUCUGGGGAUAACAGGCUGAUACCGCCCAAGAGUUCAUAUCGACGGCGGUGUUUGGCACCUCGAUGUCGGCUCAUCUCAUCCUGGGGCUGUAGCCGGUCCCAAGGGUAUGGCUGUUCGCCAUUUAAAGAGGUACGUGAGCUGGGUUUAAAACGUCGUGAGACAGUUUGGUCCCUAUCUGCCGUGGGCGUUGGAUAUUUGAAGGGGGCUGCUCCUAGUACGAGAGGACCGGAGUGGACGAACCUCUGGUGUACCGGUUGUGACGCCAGUCGCAUCGCCGGGUAGCUAUGUUCGGAAGAGAUAACCGCUGAAAGCAUCUAAGCGGGAAACUCGCCUUAAGAUGAGAUAUCCCUGGAGGCUUGACCUCCUUGAAGGGUCGUUCGAGACCAGGACGUUGAUAGGUCAGGUGUGUAAGCGCAGUAAUGCGUUCAGCUAACUGAUACUAAUUGCCCGUAAGGCUUGAUCCUAUAACA